GAUGAACGCUGGCGGCGUGCCUAAUACAUGCAAGUCGAGCGAACAGACGAGAGUGCUUGCACUCUCUGACGUUAGCGGCGGACGGGUGAGUAACACGUGGGUAACCUACCUAUAAGACUGGGAUAACUUCGGGAAACCGUAGCUAAUACCGGAUAAUAUUUAUCUUCGCAUGCAGCAAUAGUGACAGACGUUUCUGCUGUCACUUAUAGAUUGACCCGCUGUGUAUUAGCUAGUUGGUGAGGUAACGGCUCACCAAGGCAACGAUACAUAGCCGACCUGAGAGGGUGAUCGGACACACUGGAACUGAGACACGGCCCAGACUCCUAAGGGAGGCAGCAGUAGGGAAUCUUCCGCAAUGGACGAAAGUCUGACGGAGCAAUGCCGCGUGAGUGAAGAAGGUUUUCGGAUCGUAAAACUCUGUUGUAAGGGAAGAACAAGUACGGUAGUAACUGAACGUACAUUGACGGUACCUUACCAGAAAGCCACGGCUAACUACGUG
rnacentral:rRNA from 1 species